ensembl:lncRNA
CUUCCUUUCAAAACUCAUUAGUGGCAUUUAUCCUCAUUUGAAUGAGAAGAAGCCACAAAGCUUAGCAACUCGAGUGGUUGCCCUGGAAGAGGACUCCACCCUCCCUAACUAAGAGUCAAUGUCUGAAGGUCAAGCAAAAGGAACAAAGUGAAACAAAUACCAGUAAAAUGAGAGGAAAAAUCUUCUCCUCUUGUUUGGCAAAGCUUGGACUAGAAAUGGCCCCUCUGGCAAAGAUUUCUUGGGACCUAAAGUCAACUAGUGAUGCCCACAGUCUAUGAACAAUGUAUAUUCUGUUCAUAGGCCCAUAGUCAGUGCCUAGCCAGUCCAGCUAGGUAUUUGGUUAUUUGAAGUUUCACAGCCUUUUUUGUAUUUAUCAUUUGGAUCCUGACAGCCUUAGAGGAGCUGUUUCCUUCCAGCAGAGAAUUGUUGCAGACAACAUGGACCUCUGGUUGAAGGAGAUGAUGG